CUCUGCAGGACUCAGACCCGUCAGUCCACCACAACCACCAUGACUCUCAUCACCCUCCUCAUCUGGACGCUGGCCUGCUGCAGCUUCACAGGAUGCAGCGGCCAAGUGACUGUGACUCAGCCUCCAGUCGUGACAUUUACUCCAGGAUCCACUGUCACACUGAACUGUAACACCAACCCAAGUGUUUAUAGGAAUAGUAAUGGUGACUAUAUGUUCUGGUACCAGCAGAAACCUGGACAGGCUCCCAAGCUUCUUAUAAAGUUUGCAUCAACUCUUAAUUCAGGAACUCCCUCUCGAUUCAGUGGCAGUGGCUCUGGUUCUAGCUUCACCUUAACCAUCAGCGGAGUUCAGAGUCAAGAUGCAGCAGUUUACUACUGUCAGAGCUAUCAUCAAGUAAGAGGAGCACCUGUGUUGACACAGUGA